rnacentral:rRNA from 1 species
CGUAGGGGGCGAGCGUUGUCCGGAUUUAUUGGGCGUAAAGAGCUCGUAGGUGGUUCGAUAAGUCGGGUGUGAAAACUCUGGGCUCAACUCAGAGACGCCACCUGAUACUGUCGUGACUUGAGUCUGGUAGGGGAGUGUGGAAUUCCCGGUGUAGCGGUGAAAUGCGCAGAUAUCGGGAGGAACACCAGUGGCGAAGGCGGCACUCUGGGCCAGUACUGACACUGAGGAGCGAAAGCGUGGGUAGCGAACAGGAUUAGAUACCCUGGUAGUCCACGCCGUAAACGUUGGGCACUAGGUGUGGGUCUCAACCAACGGGAUCCGUGCCGCAGCUAACGCAUUAAGUGCCCCGCCUGGGGAGUACGGCCGCAAGGCUA